CCGGCCGCCGGCCCCAAUCCCAGGCCGGGGCCGCCUGGGCCUCCCCCAUCUUCUGCCCGGCCCCUCAGCGACCCGCAGCCCUCAGGGAGCCCCUCCCGCCUCAGCGCCCAGGAGCUGCGGUCCGGAGCCGACACCGAGCUGGGCCCAGGUCGCAGGCUCCUCAGGCCAAAAGGGUCCCCGGGACGGUUAAUGCCCCAGGCCUGGCGCCCUCCCCCGCCCGGGGCUCAGCCUCUCACCUGCCGCCGCCGCCGCUCCACGCUCCUCCCGGGAGGGGCCCCGACCCGACCCGGCUGCGGGCCGCUCCGCUCUCCCCCUGGGCAGGAGGUGGGGGCCCGCUCGGCUGGGGGCCACUCGGGUGCGGCGCGGAGGGCCGGGGUGGGUCGGAACCGCUGGUGCCCAGGACCCGCCUCCGGCCCCUUAAUCCGGAUCGGUUCGGUCCGGAUUAGUACUGAUCGGUGUAAACACACUAGUGAAACCGCGUGUUUCCUCGCGAGAUUUGCACGGCUGGGAGGCAGGGGGGGUCCUGGGGGGUGGGGGAAGCGCCGACAGUGGGAGAGGAGGGGGAGGGGACGAGGAAAGUGCGGAGUGGGGGGGGUCCCCGCUGCCCCGGCGCCCCGCCUCCUCCAAUCAGCGGCCGCGCUGCCGGGCAGGGGUUAACCAGGGCACCCCGCGCCGGCUGAGGAGGCCGCACCUCGCCGGACGGCUGAGGGCGGGCGACGGGCGGCGCCGGCGGACGGGCCGCGACGCCAGGGAAGGUCAGGCGGCCCGGGGCGUCCUGCGACUGCCCGAGGUCGGAGGCCCGGAGGACCCGCCGCCGCCUUUGUGUCACCAGCCCCCGCCCCGCUGGACUGGCCCGGGCCGGGGCGGUUGGGCCGGCGCUGAAGAGGCUUGGCCGCCCGGGUCCACCCGUUCCCGGAUCCGCCUCGGCGGCCCCCGCGCCCGCCCAACCCCUGCCCAACCCCUCGGCUCCGCGAGUUUGGGUGAGAAGUGCGGCGGCUUUUCCCAGGGAUGGAGUUUAGAGGACGCUAAUCCUAUGUGCGAGCGGCGGACCCCGCCCGGAUUUCCCGGAGGCGCCCGGUUAGUGAGGCGACGGCGCCCACCCGCGUUCGCGGGCUCCCGACCGCCACUCCCCGGAGCCGCCGGCCCGCCCCAGCCCCGCGCGUCGCCCCGGAGGGCGGGCUGCACUCCCUCCACGCACCUGGCUGGCAGAGCGUCUCCAGGGACAAAAGGUGCCCUGGCAUCAAAGCCGAGCCCCCGCCCCCGCCGGGAUGCUGCCCUCCGGAAGGAGGGGCGCUGCCCCCAAGGUGAGGCUGGCUGAUGAUGGUCUGGAAACCACUUUGAAAACCUCUGAAGCUUUUCUCAACUCCCUUCUUUGUGUACCUAAAACACUUUAUCCCUACUGUAGAUGUAGCAUUAGCGUGUUAUAUUAGUUUAGUGAUUGGUGUGUGGGUCUCUGGGAGCCUUUCUGAAUCACCUCCCUAGCCUAGUGCCUGACAAUAGCAAUUUGCUCCCCAUUCAUUGACUGAACUGAAACCGGAGGGUCAUGGUCAUCAUCAUUGUUCCAAGCCAUAGAUAGAAGAUGAAGUCACCACCCCUGAUCUCAGAGCUCUGCAAGUAGAGCCAGGCAUGUGGCCCAUGCAUCCUUCCCAGCCUCUUUCCUGCUGGGCAUGGAGGAGGAGGCACUGCCAGGAGCUCCCCACAGACAGGCGCUGCUUACUGAUGGGUUGGCUGCAAACUGUAGGCAUAACAGUUACCUUCCUCUUCACAACCCCCAGGCCUGACGAGGCUUAC
rnacentral:lncRNA from 1 species